rnacentral:rRNA from 1 species
AGCGUUGUUCGGAUUUACUGGGCGUAAAGCGCACGUAGGCGGACUUUUAAGUCAGGGGUGAAAUCCCGGGGCUCAACCCCGGAACUGCCUUUGAUACUGGAAGUCUUGAGUAUGGUAGAGGUGAGUGGAAUUGCGAGUGUAG